GAAGGUGAACUACAAGAAGUUCUAGCACGCUAAUAAUAGUUGAAUAGUUUUACACAAUACUAGACUGGCUGCAAGCAUUAUAAGAGGAUAAGUGCCAAAAAAAACUAUGCUACAAUGUUGAAGAGCGAUUUUCUUCAACUACAUCUAUAUAUAAAUUACGUGGUGCAAUUAAACAUAAAUUUAAUUAAUACCAGCGUCGUUUGAUUCGCGUUCAUCCAACCGGCGUUUUACGUGGAUGCAAUGCGUUACAUUGUACAGUGUGCUAUAGCUUUGUAUUGACAUCUUAUGUAUCGUUUGACUUCGCACAUAGUUCAAAAAUAGUAUUUAUAUUUAGUUAUUCGUGUGGAUAUGUGAUACGUAUACAUUCGGUGGUGUAGAUGUAUGAGUCGCGCUUGGUGUCGCGGAGAAAGCCGCGGAGAGAUUGCGAGCUGACGCUCGCGACGGUCGCCUUUCGUUUAUUCAAACAAGAUAACAUUAGCGAUGUAUUAAUACGGUUAUCAUAAUCGUACUUACUGGAGUGAUGUGAUAACGGUGGAGUGGGAGUAGAAUGCCCUUCAGAAAAUACGCAUCACUUUCGUUCGAGGAAUGCGGUAUAAAGUGGGAUCUUCGAAGCGAUCCGUUUCGGUAAUUGACUGGCGUGCUGCAGCAUCUACGCAGCACCUGCACCAGCAGCACCUUCAGAUCGAACGGUGCCAGAGGCCCGACGAAACGUAGGUUGACCGAAGCCAGAGGCACGUAGUAAGGCGCAGUCAAGGGUUGAAGGUUCGGUUGACCUUCGCUAUCGGGGCAGAACACGGAAUGGGGGGGAAAAAAUAAAUACAGAGAUGUGGUAGAAUUGGGUGAAGCGAAAUGGACCGAGGUGAUGAAAAGUUGAUAACGCCUUCAAAUAUUCAGAGCACGUUCCCAACAAAUUUAUCAUCAUGAACAAAUCUCUGCUGACUUCACCACUUUUAAGUGUAUUAAAUUUAUCUGAAAGAGAACAACAACAAAUCCAUGCGAUUUGCCAACGAGAGAAGGUCUGAGGUUUUCCAAUAUGAAAAAAAAGAGAGGACAUGAUGACGAGUUUUGAUGAAUCAAGCGGUGAUUAUGGGCUGUACGAAAUAAUUCUCCUAAUUUCACGUCUUUCAAAAUCGCGUCUACAGAACUGAUAUAAAAAAAAUUAAAAACACACUAACUCUAUUUAAUCUUUUAGACAAAUAUACUCUUGUAAGAUUGUCACGACUAGGACUAUCAGAAGCGUAUCAAAAAAUCUGCGAUGAUUUAUUCGGAUGACGCAAGCCGUGCAACGUAGUACGUCAAAAACGGGAAAUUGUUCCAAUGAAGUCACGGGGUUUAUAAUUAUUAUUGUUGUUGUUAUCAUUAUUAGUAUUCUCGAGAUGAUUGAGCCCUGAUGUACUUGUAAAUUUCGAUCGACGAUUAAUCGCAGAUUAGGAUAUGAGACUAUCAACUAGGUGGAUGUGAUAACUUGAAGAUCAGUGAUUAACCCAACUGAUUAUUACACACUUCAAUUUUUAUGCGACUGUAUGUUAAAUAUUUUCUGCAUCACAACAAUAUCAGAUAUCAGAACGUUAUUUUAUCCUCAAACAGUGGAAAAAUCGGAAUUAUAAUGAAGGUAAAAUGUGAUCAGACCUACAGAGAACGAAUUUCGGUAUGAAUGUUGGGAAGUUUCAAAACGGGGGAGGGGGAAAAAAUUAAAUAAAAAAAUCUUUCUCGAAUGUAAAAUAGUAGAUUAAUUUGCGACACAGUUACACACUCUGCGUCUAUUAUCUCCACCUGACGUCAGAAGUGUAUUAAUUAUAAUUUGAGCAAUCCAUUUACUCAAGUAAAACGGGUAAAGUAAUUAUGUGGAGUUGAGAAAAGCUCACAGUUUCGAAUUGACUACAUUGAAGUAGAGAGUUGAGUUUGUCGAAGAUGAUGUUUAGAGACCUCCUCUAGCGGUUGAAAUCGUAUGCAUAAUGUCGGCUAGUGGGUCGGCGAGUGGUCUUUCACCAAGAAGUCGUUGCCUAUCCAGAUCCCCUUGCAUCUGGGUGAAUGCAUGAUCUCCCAGGCUGACCGAAGUCUCCAACUGACUAGAUAUUUCUACAGUUUCAUCCCCUGGAAAAUAAAAUACGAUAAAUUACCAUGGAGGGCAUGUUGUGGAUUGUCAAUGAUUCGGAUCUGUCUAUCUGGCAGAAGUGGUUCCCCGUCCAUUCCACCCACGUCACUCGGUAGUUGCCAACAAGCGUUUUCUUGUUCCGAAGAUGUCCUUGGGAAAUAAAGAGGCUCGAUAUGUUACUUACUGAGUGCAAUGUGGGCGCCUGCGUCAGGUGGGUAAUUUCGUCUAACGGAAUUAAUAACAGAGGCUGGCAGGGAAAUGGGCUUGUCGAAUGGUGCGAGGUCUCUCCUGGUAAAUUGGAGUAAUCGGUGAAUCUGUGCUGAAUGGGAUAGUCUGACCAUCUUUUCAGCGUCCCCAGCUCCACCACUUCCGGAGCCACACCCAAUGGUUCCAUCAGCCUCAUUCAGCUGGAAAAAGAAACAAGCCAAAUAUUAAAACCAGAAAAAAAUCGGACUGGUAGAUCGGACUGCAAGAGUAUGCUGAGAUUCCGUUUCUGAAGACGCUGCACAAGCUGAACGUAGGUUUUUAAUUGACUCGCAAAACGGGAUUUUGCGGACGAACUGCAGUGCUGUACGUACGUACCCUUUAGGAAUGCAGUAUAACCGGUAGAGCUAUUAUUAUCCGUAUAUAAAUACCCGCGUAAGAAUCUAUAAAAGGGCUCUUCAAUCGACCAAACAAUAUUUAGGCAAUUUCCAUCUUUGCACGAAAUUGGAAUUUAUGAUUUAUACCGACAUUAUGCCAUUGUACUAUAAAUAACACAAAUAAACGAAUAGGUUUUGUCGAAAUUUUAA